rnacentral:rRNA from 1 species
UGGGGAAUUUUGGACAAUGGGCGAAAGCCUGAUCCAGCAAUGCCGCGUGUGUGAAGAAGGCCUUCGGGUUGUAAAGCACUUUUGUCCGGAAAGAAAUCCUUGGCUCUAAUACAGUCGGGGGAUGACGGUACCGGAAGAAUAAGCACCGGCUAACUACGUGCCAGCAGCCGCGGUAAUACGUAGGGUGCAAGCGUUAAUCGGAAUUACUGGGCGUAAAGCGUGCGCAGGCGGUUUGCUAAGACCGAUGUGAAAUCCCCGGGGCUCAACCUGGGAACUGCAUUGGUGACUGGCAGGCUAGAGUAUGGCAGAGGGGGGUAGAAUUCCACGUGUAGCAGUGAAAUGCGUAGAGAUGUGGAGGAAUACCGAUGGCGAAGGCAGCCCCCUGGGCCAAUACUGACGCUCAUGCACGAAAGCGUGGGGAGCAAACAGGAUUAGAUACCCUGGUAGUCCACGCCCUAAACGAUGUCAACUAGUUGUUGGGGAUUCAUUUCCUUAGUAACGUAGCUAACGCGUGAAGUUGACCGCCUGGGGAGUACGGUCGCAAGAUUAAAACUUAAAUGAAUUGACGGGGUCAUAGCUGUUUCCU